AGUUCACAUUAUUUGAAGUCAGAGGUUUAUUGAUGACUGCAUGACGCUGGCCUAACUGUAAAAAUAUACUUCAAACGUGCCAGUGACUAUAGUGCAGAAUUAGAGACGGAUUUCAGCCAAAAAGCACAAAAACUGAGAAUUAAAAUGGAAAUUUCUCUAAAUUUGAAAUAUUGCAGAGUAGGUUAAUUAGUAAAGUAAUGAAUGUUCCUAUUUCCUUAAAAAGAAGAGAACGUGUCGUAGCUCGGGGUACGCCACACACAAAGUGUGUUUCCUAAUCACAG